CACAUGGAGGCUAUAAAAUGGGUAAAGUGUGGCAGGUGGCAGCAGGUAGCAGAGGCCCAAGAAGCCUUUUUGAAGGAGAUGACAUGGGAGCUGGGACUGGCAGGAAGAGGAAGCCAUUAUUUAAAGAACAAAGCAAAAGCGGCCGGGUGAAGGUGCAUGUGGGAGGCUGGCAGCAGGGUUUCCUGCAGGCGAAAAGGAAACUUCCCUAAGACAGAAGAGGGAAUCCACCAUUUGGCCCCGGAUGGAUGGUCUCAGCCACAGGACAGGAACAAGGACAGGAAUCUGCUCACAGGUCCCCGCCCAGCUGCUCUCUGACCGGCCACAGUAUUCAGGCCAAGACACUCAGCUGUGACUGCGAAUGCUACUUGUCUGACCUAAGGAUCUAAGGACUGUAGCUGCCUUGUUUGCAUUUCUUACUCCAACGAUAACUCAAAGAAAAGAAAAUGAAUCACCGUGGAAAAUGAGGGGAGGGUGCAAAAGUAGUGCCGCAGAGCCUCAGAAUCCUCCCACCUGCCCUCCACCUGCAUCUCCACCAGCCCAUUCUCACCCUUCCCCACAUCGCAGGAGAGGAACCGCCCAGUUUCCGGGAAGACAGGGUCACUUGGUUUAGCUGGAGUGGUCCCACUCUUCCUAAGUACCUGGUCUUCACAGUAGCUGCUGUGGCAGGGAAGGACGCAAUCCCAGGACUAGACUCUUAUCUUCUCCUUUUGCCCAGGCCCCACCAGCUUCCACACUGAACAACACGGGGCCUGUGGAUCCAUCCUCAUCCCCUCCCUAAGCUACUGACCCACUCCCCUCCCCCUCCUGGCAUUGAUGGGCUGUCCUCAGGGAAGCCAGUGACCCUAGUCCAGGGCCUCAGACCAGGGUCAAGGGGCAGAAUGUCUACACCAGGCCAGGGAUCCCUGCAGACUGGUCUUCGGGAAGUGCACCCCCAGAUGCAAUCAGUUCACAGAGGAAAACCACAUUUUGUUUAGUCUUUUCCUAGUCUAGAAGGCCUAGUAUUUAAUAAACCCUGGAGCCAGCCCUGAGGGGGACUGGCUUUUAUGGGCUCCAGGCAGCUCUCUCAGCCUCUUCCCAGGUGGGGGGGCUUGGCCUGUUGGCAGCUGACUUGAGUUUUCUUCCCAGCCCCACCUCGCCCAAUGCCCCCACCUUUUCCAUGAGAUGAAGAGAAACUUGGCCUCCAAGGGUCACUCUUCUCCCCAGGAAUGUGUGGCCCAGCUUCUCCAGUUUAAAAGACUUUCCUCUGCUCCAGGGCUGACCCCAAACAGAUGGGAACCUCUAGAGCUUGGUUGGCCAAUGCCAUGUUCAGCCCAGUCACAGCUGAGAUCUUGUCACCUAGGUGAGUGCUUUACUGCUGGAGAAGUAGCAAUCAAGAGAACAGUUCUUUUUAACAUGGACAUGAGAGAUUUUAGGGACCAGUCCCCAGUGCUCAAAUCAUAGCAGGUCCCACCCAAGAACUUGGCUCAUCCACAAACCAAGCUCCUGCCAAGCCCUGGCUUAUGGAGAUGGACCAGACAUUCCUGGGGCAUCAUGGCAGGCGGCCACUGAUGCUGUCUCAAAUCCUGGGGUUCCAUAUUACGGAGAGAAUCAGCUGCAAAAGGCAACAAUUGUCUUUGAGUCACCCCUGCCCUUCCAAAAAUCAGGCUUUCAAGAGUUGAAGGCGUGAAGCGUAAUGCAGGGAAUUUCUGACAGUGCAGAGGGUAUCUGACAGGCUGGGAUGUUCCAGCGAUGACUGAACACGCAGAUUGAAUGGAACACUGAUUACAUUCUUGGUUAGCCGCCUAUAUAGCCCAUACUGGGUCCUCAUUACAUGUGCCCUAACAACAAACAUUAUGUUUCAUUAAAAUAUUACACACUUAGGAAAAUACUUCUAAAAAUGCAAAGAGGAGAAUAAAAACUACCGCAAGUGCUAUACUGAGACCCAGCGCUGUGGCAAGUUCCCCUGACCUGUCUGCAGGGAUCAUUACAAGCCGAUACUGGCUGCCCAGCGGGACCUGAUGAGACAUCAGAGAGCUCACGUGACCUCCAUUAUCACUGUCACCGCCGUGCGUGCUGUUCACACAAACAUCGGAGAUCUGAGAAAACUGGAGCUCUGAGAGAUGGACUACCUUGCUCCAAGACACACAGCCCUUCUCCCACUGCCAGGCAGGACUGAGUUACUGCUUUCCUGAGAGGAGGGAACUACAUCACUCCCCAAAAGGAAACUGGAGACCACGCUAGGCGAGCACAGCUUUCCUGAAUGCCAGCAUACCAGGGCUGGAGGUGCAGGUUUGGUGCUGCCUCCGUCACCCUAAGCCCUCAACAUCUCCAUCCCCUGGUCUCUUGGUAAACAGCUAAGCCAAGAUGGCCAGAGCUGGGAGGAUGAUUGGGCUGAGUCAUGUCACUGUAGCCCACAGACAAGUCUGCAACCCAUUAAAGACUUCUCUUCUCCAUUAAUUUCAGAGACAAAGAGACGUUUGAAGUUUAAUGUCAUUCUCUUGCUCAGCCUUCCUCAAUGAGGCCCCCAGAAGGGUGAGUGAGGGGCUCUCGGAAGGAGUGGGGCUACUGCAGGGCUGGCUCCAGCCGCAGUGUGGGAGUACCCAGGUCUUUGCUUGGAACAAACACCUAUUUGACAGACAGCAGUUGGGUCCUGGGUAGAACCAUUGAGACCAGCUACCAUUCCUGGUUCUGAAAUUUAAUAAUGAAAUAAAUGUAAUCACACAUAUUUAAUUAAGCCAUUUCUUAAUAAUCAUUAUCAUAGCAUGGCACACUCCCCACACGCCUGGCAUAGCAAGGCACUAUCAUACGCAUAGAAGCAUAGACCUUUGCUGAGAGCGUCACUCCGUACCAACCCCAGACUCAGUAGCGGUGAGAACUUGCCCAAGUCAAAAGCUUCCCUGCGGCUCAUUUCCUCCUCUGUAGAACGGGGGACUGAAAACAAGGAACAGGCAUCGGGACAGCGGAUCAUGAAACUGGUGCCCCAUGCAGUGGGUACUCUAAAAUACGAAGGAGCAGGUUUCGGGUGCAGCAGCAGCAAGGAUAGAGCUGAAACACAGAUGCCUAAGGGAAGG
rnacentral:lncRNA from 1 species